rnacentral:rRNA from 1 species
AUGCAUUGGUUUGCAUGGUGGAAGUUAUGCAUCCCGAAGAGUAAGGGUGGAUUGGGGUUUAGGGACCUACACAGUUUUAAUCUUGCUUUAUUAGCAAAACAGUGUUGACGCUUACUCCAGAAUCCUGAAUCUUUGUGUGCACGAGUUCUAGGUGCAAAGUACUACCCUGAUGGAAAUAUACUCUUGGCAGGACCUAAGAAGGGAUCUUCUUUCACUUGGCAAAGUAUUGUAUCGAGUAUACAAACUUUCAAGAGAGGAUGCAUUUGGCGCCUGAGUACGGGCUCACAGAUAAAUAUCUGGAAUGAUCCUUGGAUUCCCACUAGUGAAACAAGGAAAAUUAUAGCUCCAAGGGGAGCAACUAUGUUGAGCAAGGUUGAGGAAUUAAUCGACCCUUAUACUGGGCAAUGGGAUGAGAGUUUGAUUCGAGAUGUUUUCUGGCAAGUUGAUGUACACCGGAUCUUACAAAUACCUCUCCGAGUGCAGGUGAUGGAAGAUUUUGUAUCAUGGCAUUACAAUCGAUCUGGUGUCUUCACUGUGCGGUCGGCUUAUCAUGUGCAAUUCCAACACCAAUUUGGAGGCAUGGAGAACCAAAGUGCAGCACAAGGCAGUCGGCCGAAUCAUAUCUGGAAACGAGUGUGGGGACUGAGAAUUCCUGGAAAAGUUAAGCACUUCGUGUGGAAGGUGAUUAGGGGAGUUUUACCAUGCUAUGGUACCCUAGCAAGCCGCCAGGUACCAGUUACGGGACAAUGCCCGAUAUGCCAAUCAGGAUUUGAGGAUGCUCAACACUGUUUAUUUACAUGUAAGAGGGCGAAGGAUAUAUGGAAGGAGCUGGGACUCGAGGCUGAAGUUCAGAAAGUUGUAGCGGAGGACCGUUCGGGCGCAUUCACUUUGGCUACCCUCAUAGAGCGUCACAAUUCAAAACACGCUCUAUCUGUGGCCGAGUGA